UACGUAGGGUGCGAGCGUUGCCCGGAUUUAUUGGACGUAAAGGGCGCGUAGGCGGCCACGCACGUCCGUUGUGAAAUCGCCCGGCUCAACUGGGCGGGGUCAGCGGAUACGGUGUGGCUCGAGCAAGCUAGGGGGCAAUGGAAUUCCCGGUGUAGUGGUGGAAUGCGUAGAUAUCGGGAGGAACACCAGUGGCGAAGGCGGUUGCCUGGAGCUUUGCUGACGCUGAGGCGCGAAAGCGUGGGGAGCGAUCCGG
rnacentral:rRNA from 1 species